GAUGAACGCUGGCGGCGUGCUUAACACAUGCAAGUCGAGCGAUGGAAGUUUCCUCCGGGAAACGGAUUAGCGGCGGACGGGUGAGUAACGCGUGGGUAACCUGCCUCAUACAGGGGGAUAACAGUUAGAAAUGACUGCUAAUACCGCAUAAGCGCACGGUAUCGCAUGAUACAGUGUGAAAAGCCGAGACGGUAUGAGAUGGACCCGCGGCGCAUUAGCUAGUUGGUGGGGUAACGGCCUACCAAGGCGACGAUGCGUAGCCGACCUGAGAGGGUGAUCGGCCACAUUGGGACUGAGACACGGCCCAG
rnacentral:rRNA from 1 species